UAAAAACUCGUAUUCAGUUUUAUACUUAACAAAGUACACUUUUCGCAUGGACGAAAGUUCAUUUUCCCACUAUAUUGUUAGUUUGAAAAUAAUUAUUUUAAUAAAAAUAUCAAAUUCUUACCAAAGUCAAGGUUUUAUCACUAUAGUUGGUCGGUAACUCAGAAGUCGGGUUUUUACCACACAUAUUUUUCAUUUCGUUGACAAUUUCAUCGACCCGGGACUUCCUGCUUUCUAAAGAAAAUCUGAGCUUCUCCUUGUAAAUUAUCAAAUGCUUUAUUCCGUUUUUGGACAAAUCAUCAGCGGGCAUGCUAAGUUUUAUAGACAAAGAAUCCUGCAGUUUUUUUAAUUCCUCUUUAAUUUCAAUGUUUUUUUCUUUCCUAAGUCUGUAUAUCUGAUGAAGUUCAUUUAAUUUUGCUGACAACUGCUCAAGCUUUAUAUCCGAUAUGUCCUCAAAAUCACCGUUCACAAAAUUCACCUCAUCAACUGAUUCACCAAGGAUUACAGAUAACCUUUCAAUUUCUUUGUACAUAUUUUUUGCUUCAUUUUUCUUCGUGUUAUAGAUUGCUCGAAUACCAUUAUGGUAAGUUACCAGGCAUUCAUAUUGGUCAAUUAGAGUGCGCGGUAUUUCGAUUUCUUCGAUGAUGCCCAGUCUUUUUCUUAAAAGAGAUAUCUCAGAAGAUAAUUCAUUGCAUUUUGACUCAAUAUUUAUAAUUUUGAUCUCCAAUUUUCUUUGGUGUCCUGACAAAGCGUCCAAGAUGAUAUUGUUAAAACUGAUCUUUGUAAACGAAUACCCAAGUUUUUCGGAAAGUGUAUAAAUAUUAUUGUAAUAAUUGUUAAGCCUGUCUCCAAUUUUAGCUAACUCCAUAAUAUCUUAUGAUUUUAACAUUAAAAACAGAAGUUCGGCAUCAUGGCCUUGGAGAACUUGGUUUAUUUACCUCUAAACUUAAGGAUCGAAAGUGAGUCACAACACAUUAUGGAUUGGGACAAGUUCAUACUAGCAAGAUUGUUUAAUAAAGAAGUCAUGUCUUUUUAAAAAAAAAAUCUACAUCGAACAG